rnacentral:tRNA from 1 species
GCCAGUGUGGCUCAGUGGAUAGAGUGUUGGGCCUCGAACCAAAGGGUCUCGGGUUCGAUUCCCAUUCAAGGGCA